UCCUUUCUACAACACAGAUGUUCAGUGGUCCCUCUGCUUUGCUGAAUCUCGGUCAUGAACCUCAGUUUAGUAUGCAGUGCGGCAUUUUGUUUUCUGCAGGCAGGUCCAAUGAGUGCUGCCAUCAAUCAGACUCCCAAAUCGAUGCUCCUGAGGACAGGGCAACAUGUGACAAUGAACUGUACUCAGAAUAUGAAACAUGACGCCAUGUUCUGGUACCGACAGGAUCCAGGGCUGGGGCUGAGGCUAAUCUACUACUCAUAUGAUGUUGGCAUCACUGACAAAGGAGAUGUCCCUGAGGGGUACAGCGUUUCCAGAACAAACACAGAGUUCUUUCCCCUCACUCUGGAGUCGGCCUCUCCCUCCCAGACAUCUGUGUACUUCUGUGCCAGCAGUUAUACCACAGAGCUGUGGGCCUGCCUCCUCUCUGCACAUAAAGAUACAUGCUGAAAAGAGACACCCACCCCUGGAACUCAGUGACAUACUAGAGUUCUCAACACUGGAAUCUUGGAGCUCUGAGUGGUCUGGGCAGUGCAAACCUCAAUCUGUGCUGAGGGGCAUCUCCUGGCAAGCUCAGGCAGGUUUGGACCAGACCUUGGACUCAGAGGUCUCCACUGUUGCUGUCUUUCCUCUGAUGCUUCUUUAAUUCUGACUUUCUGGUCUUUGUCUUGAGUUUAAGUAUUGCUGGAUGGAAGGCAGCUUGUAAUUUGGAUAUGCACUAACUCCCUGUUUUCCUUGACAAAGCAUAAUGCAUUCUCCCUCUGGGAUUCAGGUCAUGUCAUAGGAAAGGGAUGAUUGAACAGUUUCUCAGUAGAUUGAGAAACUAUCAAUGGAAGCACCUCAGAUUGUACUUUGCCCUGCCAGAGAUGAAGCCUAACUCUGAGAAAGCAUAUCUCUUUCAUUACUGGGCUAAGGUGAGUGCUGGAAUGUGGUGCCAUAUUCUCUAGCACCAUUGGCUAUAACAGGAUAAAGGCUUCCUUCAGUGGCUGCAUCCCGAGAUUUCUUAUAGGUGAUUUUCCCACAAGGAAUUUAGAUAGAUCAGAGACCCUUUCUCAGAAUGCCAU